GCCCACACAUGCCCUCCCAGGUUAUGGGUCUGGUCUCACUGGGCCCGAGCAAGUACCACAGGGAACCUCUUACACUGAGGACUGUAUUGGGAAGGAGAGAAACCACUGACCAGAAGCAAAAAGGUGUCUCGGGAGGAAGGGGGUCACUGUUUCAAGCACUCUGCUCUCCAUCUUCUUCAGCACAAGUUCUUGGUGGCCUCAAUUCACGGUCUCUUCCUGUUGAUCAGCAGUAGGCAGAGACCACCUCCCUCAUCGCCACUUUGGGUUUGGACCGCUUUAAACAGUAGAGUGACUGUCGACGGCUCAGUCUACAGGGAGGAGAACAAAAGACAGGGUCAGGGCUGGGCAGACUGGACAGGAGCAGCAUAAGCCAGGCUCUAUGGAAUGUUGGGUGAGCUGUUUGAGGAACUCCAAGGCCUGUCCCACAGUCUUCCAGCCUCCGACUCUCCUGCCCUCAGCGUGGUCAGCAGAAGUCCCACUGGUUUUUUUGGUUGUUUUUUUUUAAGGUUUUUUUGUUUUUGUUUUUGUUUUUUUUUCUCAUUCCUGUCUUGGGAGCUUUCCCCAACCAGGAGAGUGAAGAUGGGCGGAGCUGUCACACCAACUGUUAGCCUGCCUUGGCUGAGAGGAGAGGAGGCGAGGAGGGAACGACCACCCAGCUUUAGUCGUUUUAAAACAGUUCCUGACCCUAGGAGAAGGGAAAUGGAGAUGAAGACUCAAUUGACUUGA
rnacentral:lncRNA from 1 species